rnacentral:lncRNA from 1 species
UCGGAUUGAUCCGAUUUGCGCGCGAUUUGGUGAGUAAUCUCACUAAUCUUGGAUUAGUUGGCUAAUUAUGCUUAAGGUUGGUUUAGAUUUAAUUAAUUAUGUUUAGGUUGUUAGAUUAGAAUAAAUUAGCAAUUAUUAGUCAAUUGUGAUGCGAUUUAAAUAAAUUGAUUGUGUAAUUAGCAAGUAGACGUGGUCUACUAAUUAUUGGAAGUGCUUCGGGAUUUUUCCCGACCCUUAGUGGGCUCCAAUUAGGCUUUUCGGGCCUAAAUGGAAUUUUUAGUAUUUAAAUAUUAAUUUUCGGAAUUAAAUUAAAUAAUUAUUUAUUUUCCGAAAAUUCAACUGAGAUGGCUCGGGACCGGAAUAUUGUGUUGAUGACCGUGGUGAAGUCCGUUUAGUUAAUCGGGCUUUAUUUUGAGCUAAAUUGAAUUUUUAAUAUUAAUUAUUUAAUUUUCGAAAUUAAUAAAUUAAUUAAUUAUUUUUCGGAAAUUAAGAUUUUGAUGGCCGACGACCGAAAUCUCGUGCUGAUCAUCGUGGCGUAGUCCGUUUAUUUAUUUGAGCUCCACGUUGCGUGGAAUUAAAUAAAUUGUGAUAUUUUUGGGGAUUUACUCUAAAUUGAUUGGAAUUGAUUGAGAUUGAAUUAUUGAUUGGUAAAUGGCCAAGUAUGUUUAUUCAUCGUUUGCAAUGCUUUGUUGAGUUGUAAAGUGAGUAGAAUUGUGAGAGUGAUUUGAAUAUACUCUUGGCUGAGAUCCAUCAGGUAUGUUAAUAUCGUGUGAAGAUUGAGUGAGUUGAUGAGUAUGUGGGGAUUCAUCCCAAGAUUGAUCAAUGUCGGUAUUCAAUUAGAAUUUGACUAUGAGAGGUUGUGAGUUGAACCUCGGAAGCCGCCGAAGUAUGGCUCUGCCAGUUGGGCCGAGAUUUGCCACCGAAUUUGGAGUCGGUCGCGCCUGUUAAGGCCGUAAUCUGCCACCUAUUAAAGGUCGCGCCCGUUGGGCCGUAAAUUGCCACCUAUUAAAGGCCGCGCCUGUUAAGGCCGUAAUUUGCCACCCGAUAUGGGUCGCGCCUGAUAAGGCCGUAAAUUGCCACCUAUUAAAGGUCGCGCCUGUUGAGGCCGUAAUCUGCCACCUGAUAUGGGUCGCGCCUGUUGAGGCCGUAAUUUGCCACCCGAUAUGGGUCGCGCCUGAUAAGGCCAUAAUCCGCCACCUAUUAAAGGUCGCGCCCAUUGGGCCGUAAUUUGCUAUCUAAAGAUAGGUCGUGUCCUUCGGGACUGUAAUUUGUUGCCAAGAAAUUUGGUAGUCUAUGCUUGUGAAGUCGUGAGUACGAUUUGAACCUGAAUAAGGGAAACGACUGGGGAAUGGUCGAAUUGACAUGAAAUCGACUAGGUCGAUGGAUCGAGAUAUUAAUCUGUGAUGUAAUUGCUUAGGUGCCUAUUGAACUGUGCUAAUAUGCAGGUGGAGUCUGAGGCCAAGGUAAGUCCUCUGCCCUGUGCGUGUUUAGGCAGCCUAUAGUAUAAUAGUUUACUAAUCGGGCUUAGUGGGGUAGAACUCGCUGAGACGUAGUCUCAUCUCGGUUUGGGGAAAAACAUUUCAGGACCCGAUAAGGAGCUGAGGAGGAGAAGUCUGGGAAGGAGAUCUUGGAGGUGAAACUUGAAGGGAAGGAUUUUGAAAGAAGAAGAUAAUACCGAGAUGGGCCUUGAGUAUGGCCUGGAUGGAUUGAGAUCCUAUCUUCUUUUGAGAUCUCCGUUUUGAUGUGAAUAGAUAUGAAAGGGUUUGUGGUUUGUAUAAAAGUUUGGUUAUAAAUUUCAAUAUGAAAAAUAUGGCCUUGCUUUUCUAUCCCAUCGUUUUAUUGUCUGGGGAUUUUAACUGCUUCCGCAUGUGCUUAAAAAUUAAAAGGGUCGGCGAUAUAUUGUCCUG